AGAGUUUGAUCCUGGCUCAGAUUGAACGCUGGCGGCAGGCCUAACACAUGCAAGUCGAGCGGUAGCACAGAGAGCUUGCUUCUCGCUGACGAGCGGCGGACGGGUGAGUAAUGUAUGGGGAUCUGCCCGAUAGAGGGGGAUAACUACUGGAAACGGUGGCUAAUACCGCUUAAUCUCUCAGGAGCAAAGCAGGGGAACUUCGGUCCUUGCGCUAUCGGAUGAACCCAUAUGGGAUUAGCUAGUAGGUGAGGUAAUGGCUCACCUAGGCGACGAUCCCUAGCUGGUCUGAGAGGAUGACCAGCCACACUGGAACUGAGACACGGUCCAGACUCCUACGGGAGGCAGCAGUGGGGAAUAUUGCACAAUGGGCGCAAGCCUGAUGCAGCCAUGCCGCGUGUGUGAAGAAGGCCUUCGGGUUGUAAAGCACUUUCAGUCGGGAGGAAGGCGUUGAUGCUAAUAUCAUCAACGAUUGACGUUACCGACAGAAGAAGCACCGGCUAACUCCGUGCCAGCAGCCGCGGUAAUUC
rnacentral:rRNA from 1 species